GGUGGCUCAGUGGUAGAGUGCUUGCCUUGCAUGCAUAAGGCCCUGGGUUUGAUUCUCAGCACCA
rnacentral:tRNA from 1 species